rnacentral:rRNA from 1 species
UAGGGAAUCUUCGGCAAUGGGGGGAACCCUGACCGAGCAACGCCGCGUGAGUGAAGAAGGUUUUCGGAUCGUAAAGCUCUGUUGUUAAGGAAGAACGAGUGUGAGAAUGGAAAGUUCAUACUGUGACGGUACUUAACCAGAAAGGGACGGCUAACUACGUGCCAGCAGCCGCGGUAAUACGUAGGUCCCGAGCGUUUUCCGGAUUUAUUGGGCGUAAAGCGAGCGCAGGCGGUUAGAUAAGUCUGAAGUGAAAGGCAGUGGCUCAACCAUUGUAGGCUUUGGAAACUGUUUAACUUGAGUGCAGAAGGGGAGAGUGGAAUUCCAUGUGUAGCGGUGAAAUGCGUAGAUAUAUGGAGGAACACCGGUGGCGAAAGCGGCUCUCUGGUCUGUAACUGACGCUGAGGCUCGAAAGCGUGGGGAGCGAACAGG